AACAGACGAGGAGCUUGCUCCUCUGACGUUAGCGGCGGACGGGUGAGUAACACGUGGAUAACCUACCUAUAAGACUGGGAUAACUUCGGGAAACCGGAGCUAAUACCGGAUAAUAUAUUGAACCGCAUGGUUCAAUAGUGAAAGACGGUUUUGCUGUCACUUAUAGAUGGAUCCGCGCCGCAUUAGCUAGUUGGUAAGGUAACGGCUUACCAAGGCAACGAUGCGUAGCCGACCUGAGAGGGUGAUCGGCCACACUGGAACUGAGACACGGUCCAGACUCCUACGGGAGGCAGCAGUAGGGAAUCUUCCGCAAUGGGCGAAAGCCUGACGGAGCAACGCCGCGUGAGUGAUGAAGGUCUUCGGAUCGUAAAACUCUGUUAUUAGGGAAGAACAAAUGUGUAAGUAACUAUGCACGUCUUGACGGUACCUAAUCAGAAAGCCACGGCUAACUACGUGCCAGCAGCCGCGGUAAUACGUAGGUGGCAAGCGUUAUCCGGAAUUAUUGGGCGUAAAGCGCGCGUAGGCGGUUUUUUAAGUCUGAUGUGAAAGCCCACGGCUCAACCGUGGAGGGUCAUUGGAAACUGGAAAACUUGAGUGCAGAAGAGGAAAGUGGAAUUCCAUGUGUAGCGGUGAAAUGCGCAGAGAUAUGGAGGAACACCAGUGGCGAAGGCGACUUUCUGGUCUGUAACUGACGCUGAUGUGCGAAAGCGUGGGGAUCAAACAGGAUU
rnacentral:rRNA from 1 species